rnacentral:ncRNA from 1 species
CUGAAGGGGUGCCUAAGAAACGAGGGGGAGUUCCCAACGUUUCUGCCUGCUGCCGGAAGGGGCAGGUCAAUACAACGGGCUGAGAUUAUACCCAUGAACCUGAUCCGGGUAAUGCCGGCGUAGGGAGAGAGUUAU